rnacentral:tRNA from 1 species
CGAAAUCGGUAGACGCUACGGACUUAAAAUCCGCCGACUUUAAAAAUCGGGA